CAGUAGCCACGGUAAUACAGAGGGUGCAAGCGUUAAUCGGAAUUACUGGGCGUAAAGCGCGCGUAGGUGGUUUGUUAAGUUGGAUGUGAAAUCCCCGGGCUCAACCUGGGAACUGCAUUCAAAACUGACUGACUAGAGUAUGGUAGAGGGUGGUGGAAUUUCCUGUGUAGCGGUGAAAUGCGUAGAUAUAGGAAGGAACACCAGUGGCAAGGCGACCACCUGGACUGAUACUGACACUGAGGUGCGAAAGCGUGGGGAGCAAACAGGAUUAGAUACCCGCGUAGUCCCUGUCUCUUAUACC
rnacentral:rRNA from 1 species